rnacentral:lncRNA from 1 species
UGCCUACAGGAAGUUCAGCACCAGCGCCCAAACAGGGUAGAUGAAGAGCAGGAGGAUGCCGAUGCUGUUCAACACGCCAUUGCCCUUCCUGAAGGCGUUCCUGAAUCCUCCUGACGCCUUGAUGUGCUCUGAAAGAAGGUAGCAUCCAAUCACGAGGCAUAUGAAGAUGCCGAUCAAGUCGUUCCUGAAGGUGUCCGCGAAGAGGUUGGGGGCGACAACUGUGAGCAGGAUGAUUGCACCGGGCAGCUCCAACCAAUCUGGUGCACAGGAUGAAACAUUGUUGUGACAUCCAUGUAAAAAUUUAAUCACCUUCACAAAAGGGACACU